GGGGUUGUGGCUCAGUGGUAGAGCACUUGCCUGGCAUGUGUGAGGCACUGGGUUCAAUCCUCAGCACCA
rnacentral:tRNA from 1 species